AUUGAACGCUGGCGGCAGGCUUAACACAUGCAAGUCGAGCGGAGCGAGGGUGCUUGCACCUUAGCUUAGCGGCGGACGGGUGAGUAAUGCUUAGGAAUCUGCCUAUUAGUGGGGGACAACAUUCCGAAAGGGAUGCUAAUACCGCAUACGCCCUACGGGGGAAAGCAGGGGAUCUUCGGACCUUGCGCUAAUAGAUGAGCCUAAGUCGGAUUAGCUAGUUGGUGGGGUAAAGGCCUAACAAGGCGACGAUCUGUAGCGGGUCUGAGAGGAUGAUCCGCAACACUGGGACUGAGACACGGCCCAGACUCCUACGGGGGGGAGCAGUGGGGAAUAUUGGGCAAUGGGCGGAAGCCUGAUCCAGCCAUGCCGCGUGUGUGAAGAAGGCCUUUUGGUUGUAAAGCACUUUAAGCGAGGAGGAGGCUACUAGUAUUAAUACUACUGGAGAGUGGACGUUACACGCAGAAUAAGCACCGGCUAACUCUGUGCCAGAGGCCGCCGUAA
rnacentral:rRNA from 1 species